rnacentral:lncRNA from 1 species
CAGAAUCUCAACCCAGAUGAUACUGAUUCAACUGUCAGGACUGAACGAUCAAAAGACACUGCAGAUCCCAUACAUCAGGAAGCAUUGCCUGCAGACAACCAAGAACAAAGUGAAGUAGCCUACAAACCUUCAAGCCCACCUCCAGUUCAAGAAAUGAAGAAAGUAGCAAAGAAAAGACAUAAUUUCUUCAGAAUCUGGUAUGGGUUUAGAAAGACAGAAAUGGUGCAGACUGCAGUUGGUUCAUUUGCAGCAGCAUUCUCAGGAAUAUCAAAGCCCUUUUUUGGGUUCUACAUUAUUACUGUGGGAGUAGCGUACUACCAAGGUCAUGCAAAGCGUAAGGUCGGGAAGUACUCAAUCAUCUUUUCCAUGAUUGGAUUGAUUUCCUUAUUCAGUCAUACCUUGCAACAUUACCUCUUUGGAGUUGUUGGAGAGAGAGCCAUGACCAAUCUCAGAAGCGCUUUGUACUCAGGUAUCAAUCAAUUACUUUCUACCUAUAUAUAAUGCACAACUAUAGUAAGAUAGUGCUAAGAUAUAACAAGUAAAAUCAAAGCGAUUGCAAUUAUGAACUGUAAGAUUCUGCUCACCAUGGGUUUUCUGCUAAGAUUCUACGUUUGCUUCACCAGGAGUGUCUAGAACAUAAAUUUUUUUACAGGGGAUUCUGAGACCAAUAAUUAUUGAAUUUGCAGGUGUGCUGAGAAAUGAACUAGGUUGGUUUGAGAAGCCAGACAACAC